rnacentral:rRNA from 1 species
UGCGUAGGCGGUCUGUUAAGUUGGAUGUGAAAACUCUGGGCUCAACCCAGAGCCUGCAUCCAAAACUGGCAGGCUAGAGUUCUGGAGGGGGUAGCGGAAUUCCUGGUGUAGCGGUGAAAUGCGUAGAUAUCAGGAGGAACACCGGUGGCGAAGGCGGCUACCUGGACAGAAACUGACGCUGAGGCACGAAAGCUAGGGGAGCAAACA